GAUACAGUACAGAAUCAACUUUCCUUUGUCAGUCAGCCGGUGAUAAUUCAGAGCACCCAUUGCAUCAGGAUAUUGGAACUGAAAUGAAGUCUGAACAACUUGGAGAUGAAAAAGGAGUAGGCAGAGAUGAGAAAGGGGUUCUUUGUACUGCAAAUGUGGAUAAAGGUAAAUAAAUGGAAAGGAUUUUUAAUAAAAUUUCAGUUUAGUAACAAUUGACCACAUAUAUAAUAGAUUAUGUUCAAAGAGAUGAUGAAUAACCAGAUAAUAACUUAAUCUCUUAAGUGGUUAGUUAUUCCUAAGCUGGAAAUUAUAUGAAGGUCUAGUUUUAUAUAUUUUCUAAAAUAAAAUGCUUUUUUUCAAUAUGCUAAUACCAUAAAUGGUAAGCGUUAAUAUUAUGUCUAUUCUAGCAGAUAUGUUGCCAUAUUGUGAGGAACAGAUAAACAAUGACUUGAUUGUUUCUACCUCAUCAAGAUUGGAGUUCAGCUCCCCUAUUCAAGUAACCCCUCUGUUCAGAUCCUUGGCAGCAGGAAUUCCCAGCCCACAAUUUUCCGAAAGUGUAAGUCAGCCAUGAACUUGGGACUUGGGCAUUGAUUAUAUUUCUGUAUAAUUUUUUUUAAAAUGAUCUAUAUGCAUAUAUUGUAUUUCUUUUGACCGCAGAACCCAUUAUGAUUUCUGUUAUAGUUUCAUAAAGGAUUUUUAGGGUCUCUGAUAUUUUCCGUUAUCUGAUAUUGAUAAUGUUGAUAAUGAUAACUAGCAUGAUUAUAUAUUAUUAGUAAUAUGGGAGCUUUUCAACUUGAUGGUAGAGCUUGUUGUAGUGGAGAUUUUAUAGGGGAAGCUUAUCAAUGCAAAAUUGACAUGUUAAAGCGGUGAACUAAUGGAAUCAUGAUUAGUUGUUGGAUUAAUGGAAUCAUGUCUUUUCCUUUUAGUUUAGUAAGAUGAAUGCCUAUUAUAUAUUAAAUAUUAAUCUAUCAAUAAUAAAUCAAAUAAUGGUGGCAUUUUAUUUUCAUCAUUAGUUUCAAUACUCAAUCCAUGAAACCGUAGUAGGCACCUUAACUCAAGUAUUCCUAAUAUCAUCUAUUUCUACUUCUAAGUCCAUUGGGCUUUUGAAAUAUUUAAGCAAUCCCUACCUAAAAUUGUUGAUGCAGGUAAAAAAGAGGUAAAUGAAGAAGAACAACCUGUUUGUAAUCAAGUAUUUGGGUGGCAUAUAAUGUGCUGGUAAAACUAAUACGAUAUAUGUGUAUAUGGCAUGAGAUUUUCUGAGACAUUUAGAUUUUUUAGCAUACAGAUUAAGUUGUGUAAGAUCUUACUCACAUUGGAGCGCAUAAUAAUGAUAUAACUGCAGGGUUUGUUUGGAUAAAAUUUUCCAUAAACACUCAUUGGAGAAGAAAAUACGAAGGAAAGACUAACCAUAAAGUAAAAUUAGUUUAUAUAUGAAUUAAAAAUCAUCUAUUUAGAGAAACUCAUUUUGUUUGUCCUUCUUAUAUUGCUCUUAUAAGUUAGAAGUAUUUUGAAAAAGUUUAUCUUGCAAAUAAUAUUUAAUUUUGUGGCAAGAUUAGUGGAAGCUGUUAGAUGUUAUUCACACAUUGAUUUUUUUAAUUCUAGUUUGUCGUUGGUAAUGGCACUUCUCGCUUUUUCUCUAGUAUUAGAAUAUAUCGAUGUUUGACACUGAAGACUAACCUUUAUUCUUUCAGGAAAGGAACUUCUUAAGGAAAACACUAGGAGUGGAAUCUCCAUCCAUCAACCCAAGUGCCAACUCAUCACAACCGCCACCCUGCAAAAGAGCCCUACUACCAAGUCUAUAAACCAUCUGAGAUACAAAUAUUGAUCCGUUUUGAAUCCUACUUUCUCAUCCUUGGCAGUAAUCUCUGGCAUAUGGAGAAAAAAUAUGAUUUCAAUCUGCCUAAAGUUUUGAAAGGCAUAUGCUGUUCCUCAAGAAUGUUAUGAUACAUUCUUGCCGCCAUCCAACAUAUCUAACAUCUCAAAAGUUACCUUUUUGAAACUUGCACAUAAAAUUGGCUUGCUUAGUGUGUCAUUCUUUGGUUUGUUUUAUUUUGAUAUUGUUCUGGGUUUGUUUUUCUCCAAUCCAGCAAUCAGCAUUUUGUCCGAAUUUUGUACAGAGCUUGCUGUGUAAUCAGUAGCAUCAUGAUUCCUGAGUGUGUAUGAAUACAUUAGCAUAGAUAGAAGAGAGAGAAGAAACUUAACAGUGGGAACUUGGAUUCUAAUUUGUUGUUUGGAGUGUGCAUAGGUUAUUUAAUAAAUAUUUUUCCCUUUUGGUUCUGAUGUACUGAAACUUAAUCAUAAGUGAGUGGAAAUGCAUUUGGUUUGGUGUGCAGAUACUGUUUCAGUUUUUAGCUCAAUCAAAUUGUAAAAUUCUCCAAACUAAGACUUAUAUUCCAGGUAAAUAAAAGAAAAUGGUAAAGCAAAGGCCAUGAAGCAUCAUGAAAACAGAACAAGAAAUGGAGAAUAUGUAAAUCAUAUACUUACAGAGUUUUCAUGUCACCUUGCCCCCUGACCUGAUAGAGGCAAAGCAUACCUUUCUCUUUGAUACGGCUUGUUUGCCAUGGAGCAUCAUCUUGUGCUGGGUGGAAGAAUAAUUCCACACUCACUGCAUU
rnacentral:lncRNA from 1 species